GGAGGACAGCUGUACUUCAACUGUUUAAGACAUAACAAAAUCAAUUUUAAACUGUUUAUCUUCGUUCAAACCAUUUAACAAAUCUACAUACUGCAUUUUCUAGUUAUUAUCAUAAAAAAAAUUGUUGUUGUUUUCAGCGGCACUGCUGGAGUGUCAGCUCAGUGAAUGUCAGUGAAUGCAUAUAGGGGAAACACUGAUAUAGGUGUUAUUGGGCCCCUAAUACAGUAUUUGAAGACGUUCAAGAAAUUCAGCCUUGGUGCAGAAUUACAGCCUCUACUAGCCAGCCCCACAAUGAGUUUUCCACAAACAUGCCAUUUUUUUAGAGGCGGGUCACGAUGGAGGGUGGGGGUGCGGCCCUGAGCAGAAUGCGGCCACGGUACCAUGUGCUAGUGUUUACAGUUGAUGUAUCGCAAUGGCUGGGAUUCAAAAUAUCAUCCGGAGGCGCACAGCUUUUGGCCGUGUUCUGUAAAUAUUCUAGAACACUCCAGGUUCUCCGGCGCGAGUCCUGGAGCUCUAUAUCUAAACAAUAUAAUAUAAUAUAUAGAUAUCUAUAUAUAAUAUAAUAUAUAUUAUCACAGACAAAAGCUGUGUGCGCCUCCGGAUGAUAUUAUGAAUCUCAAACGACUGCGUCAGGUUCUCAGACGUUUCUAGUUCUUCCACUUCCAAUUCAAUUAAGUACAGACUGAGCGGGACAUGGAGGAGAAAGCGCUACCGAGGGCGCUACUGGGGACCUGAGCCCCUCGGUAGCAGGUCUCCCGCCAGAGCCCCGCUUCCGGGGCACCACAGCUGCAACGUCAGAGAACCCGACGCAGUCUAGUCUUCUCACCAAAUGGGAGCUUUACGCAAAACUCACCUUAUGUUGUAUGUUAUGCACCAUAACACCAACAGCAGAACGGUUAUCAAAAUAACAAAGAAGUGUUGUAUACUUGCUUUACAGUGUGUGUAUAUUCACACACACACAUGUGGUGCUCGCAGGUUUGUAGCUCAUUGUCUAAUUGGCUGGCCAAAUUCUCUGGGCGGGCAAACCAGAGAAAGGGGAGGUAACCUGGCCCCUUAUGACGACAUAUGGGGCCAAAUUCCAAAUCGGCGUGUCUGAGCUUUCAUUUUUCAAUGAAAAAUGUGUAAAAGCACUGUGUAAAACACUGUGUAAAACAGUGCUUGUUUUACACCUAAUGUCAUUUCUAGCCAUUGGGGGACCAUAUGCAGUAGGUGGAACUCAUAUUAAUGUUAGAAAGCCUCAUAAAGUGAAAUUUUCAUGCCAUGGACCUUUUAACUCGUAUGAAUAUGACAUCACCUGUUAAAAAUGU